rnacentral:rRNA from 1 species
AUACGGAGGGUGCGAGCGUUAAUCGGAAUUACUGGGCGUAAAGCGUACGUAGGCGGUUGGUUAAGUUAGAUGUGAAAGCCCCGGGCUUAACCUGGGAACUGCAUUUAAAACUGGCGAACUAGAGUUGAGUAGAGGGGAGUGGAAUUUCAGGUGUAGCUGUGAAAUGCGUAGAGAUCAGAAGGAACACCAGUGGCGAAGGCGACUCCCUGGACUCGAACUGACGCUGAGGUACGAAAGCGUGGGUAGCAAACGGGAUUAGAAACCCCAGUAGUCC